rnacentral:rRNA from 1 species
ACUCCUACGGGAGGCAGCAGUAGGGAAUAUUGCGCAAUGGAGGAAACUCUGACGCAGCGACGCCGCGUGUGUGAUGAAGGCUUUCGGGUCGUAAAGCACUGUCAGAAGGGAAGAAAACCACCUUGGAAAUACUUGGGUGGCUUGACGGUACCUUCGAAGGAAGCACCGGCUAACUACGUGCCAGCAGCCGCGGUAAUACGUAGGGUGCUAACGUUGUUCGGAAUUAUUGGGCGUAAAGCGCGUGUAGGUUGCCAGAUAAGUUGGAUGUGAAAGCCCUCGGCUUAACCGGGGAAGAGCAUCCAAACUGUCUGGCUAGAGGAUGGUAGAGGAAGGUGGAAUUCCUAGUGUAGAGGUGAAAUUCGUAGAUAUUAGGAGGAAUACCUGUGGCGAAGGCGGCCUUCUGGGCCAUUCCUGACACUGAGACGCGAAAGCGUGGGGUAGCAAACAGGAUUAGAUACCCUGGUAGGCUCUGCU